rnacentral:rRNA from 1 species
ACAUCCAGAGAACUUAGCAGAGAUGCUUUGGUGCCUUCGGGAACUCUGAGACAGGUGCUGCAUGGCUGUCGUCAGCUCGUGUUGUGAAAUGUUGGGUUAAGUCCCGNAACGAGCGCAACCCUUAUCCUUUGUUGCCAGCGGUUCGGCCGGGAACUCAAAGGAGACUGCCGGUGAUAAACCGGAGGAAGGUGGGGAUGACGUCAAGUCAUCAUGGCCCUUACGGCCAGGGCUACACACGUGCUACAAUGGCGCAUACAAAGAGAAGCGACCUCGCGAGAGCAAGCGGACCUCAUAAAGUGCGUCGUAGUCCGGAUUGGAGUCUGCAACUCGACUCCAUGAAGUCGGAAUCGCUAGUAAUCGUAGAUCAGAAUGCUACGGUGAAUACGUUCCCGGGCCUUGUACACACCGCCCGUCACACCAUGGGAGUGGGUUGCAAAAGAAGUAGGUAGCUUAACCUUCGGGAGGGCGCUUACCACUUUGUGAUUCAUGACUGGGGUGAAGUCGUAACAAGGUAAGCGUAGAUGA